rnacentral:lncRNA from 1 species
CACCACGGACUGCAGGCCAGCGUGCAGUGAGGGGCACCGACGGGCGGGCCGGGGGGCGAGGGGGCCGGGACGGGCACAGCCACCGCCACCGGCGCGCACAGCCGCCCGCUCACCCGGACACACUCACACACACGCACACACACACACAAACACACACACACACACGAUCCAGGCUCGUUCAGACUGCUUGUGUUUAUAUAUAUAUGGAUAGACGCGUGCAUCUAUAUCUAUAUAUAUAUAUAAGAUCGAUACCGAUAGGGAGCGGUGGAGAAGGGUCGAUCCGAGCGAGAGCGUUCAGACCGCGUUGGGAAAGCGGGGUGGAGAAGCGUAAUGCACCAAAACUGCAGCUGUGCCCGGGGGGGUGGCUGUGGGGAGAGGGCUUAGGCGGGUGGGCUCAAGCUUCUUUUUUAAUUUUAUUUUUUAAUUAUUAUUAUUUUUAUUUGUAUUUUCACUCUCCAAAUUAGCCCCCUCUCGCAGCAAGGAGCACCACUGGUGGAAAUAAUUUAGGGCUGUCAAAGUCCUGCUCCUGACGGCUGCCAAUCAUCAUGGAAGAGUCAUAAAAAAAAAAAAAAAAUCCACUGCUAAUAUUUUUUUUAUUAAUAUUUUUAUUUUUUAUUUCUGGACUGAUUCAGAUAAAGGGAUUUAGAAGGACUGAGCAUCUGCAGCUGCACUUAUCUGAACUUCUCCUCUCCUAAAUCCGUUGCCAACUUUGAUUGAAUGGGUGCUGUGGAUGUGAUUAUAUAAUACUGCCAUUUCCAAGCAGUGUUUUUGGUAGGUUUUAAUAAACAGACUUUUCAAAAAGACGGCAAUAUAGAAUUGUUAGAUCCGUUGUUGAUCUAAAAAAAGAAAAAAAAAAAAAAUUUGCUUUAUAUUUUCAUUAAAUGACUUCUUUUAAUAUUUUAUUCAGAAUACCUAUGAACUGCUGCAAAACGGUAAUUUAUUUUUUCCCCAGAUCUUGUAUUACGUGUUUUUUUCAGACGAGCACAAAUCAAAAUGAAAUGAAAAUAUGGACAGUUGUUAGGUAAUAAGGGUAUCUUUUGAUGUGAUAAUUUGAUUGUAAUUUAAUUUGAGUAGUGAUUCCGUAAGAGCUG